GAAAGCUCAGACGUUCUAUAUAAUAUUUCGGUGACGCAAGGUUAUUUCGACCUAGUAACGUCAGUAAUCAUUAGAUGGAAUAUUCUACUCUGGGAAGAUAUGCUAGGUAAGAAAUAUUUCUUGUUAUCUCAAUUGAAACAUUUAGUAAUAUGAAAUUUUGAGGAAGUAUGAUGAGAAGAAUAAUAAAAGCAUAAAAGUAGUUACAUGCGCAUCGAUAUUUCCAACUGGUAAACCGCCAUUUUUUUUUUUGUCCACGAUUACGAGGUGCCCACCAGGCGCCAAACGCCAGUUCCAGACUAGUAGCUGCAUCUUUAUCCUGUACCUUGUGAGACCCAGGCCUGUACCUUCAUCAAGCCUGAUACUACCUGCUUACUGCACUUCUGGGACACUAGAGGCUGUGUUGACGCUGUUGCUGAGGCUUAACUACACGGCCUCAUCUAAAACACCACCAAGGGCACAGCCAACCAGUAUUCUACCUACCUACCUCCUAAGGCCCUAAGACCUAAGGGCCUUGCAUCCAACAACAUUCCUGGUCUCCUCCCUCGCAUGGGAAUCAAGAUUUACUACAGCAAGAUAUAUGCUGGCAAUUGAUGGUGUUGUUGUCACUGAGCAUAUUGCCACAUUUACCACUGGCCUAGCUUUGCUGUUGGCCUCCUAUUACUACUUCAUUAUAAUGUACCCCAUGGAUUCUGCAUCAACACCUGAGUUCAUUCAAAGAUGUUUUGUUGGCAUCAAUCCCGAAUGGCAGAGCAAGAUAGAAGUAAAAAAAACAUUGCAAAAGGCAUUCUGAAGUCCAUCCGAAGGUCCUGUCCCUGAUUAAUGCUAUUGCUGAUGUAGACUGGAGGAGCUAAAUCCCACAAGAUAAUGUUUAUUACUUAUGAAAACAUUGUUUUAUCAUUAUGGAGAUUAAUCAUUAUUAUUUUCUUUUAAGAAAUCUUGGAACACUUAUAUUGGAUCAUUAUGGAGAUUAAUCAUUAUUAUUUUCUUUUAAGAAAUCUUGGAACACUUAUAUUGGAUCAUUAUGGAGAUUGAUCAUUAUUAUUUUCUUUUAAGAAAUCUUGGAACACUUAUAUUGGUUUUUUGUUGAGUGAAAAAUAAGCUUCCAGGAAGUCACAUGUAUUAGUGUCUUAUUUACCAUUUCAUUUUACCUCACAAAAAUUAAUUUGCUUUAUUACUCAUUUUAUUAGCGAUGCUAUGAGUGUGCUAUGACAGUUAGAUUGCUUCAAUGUGCUUGUGCCUGGAGAAAGGGGCUGGUCAUCCCUAUCUGGAAACUUAGUGGGCCAUCAUUUAUUUUAUUUAUUUAUUACCAUUGACUUCUGUAGAACUAAACAAU